rnacentral:rRNA from 1 species
GUGGGGAAUUUUGGACAAUGGGCGCAAGCCUGAUCCAGCAAUGCCGCGUGCAGGAAGAAGGCCUUCGGGUUGUAAACUGCUUUUGUACGGAACGAAACGGUCCUGGUUAAUACCCGGGGCUAAUGACGGUACCGUAAGAAUAAGCACCGGCUAACUACGUGCCAGCAGCCGCGGUAAUACGUAGGGUGCAAGCGUUAAUCGGAAUUACUGGGCGUAAAGCGUGCGCAGGCGGUGCUGUAAGACAGGCGUGAAAUCCCCGGGCUUAACCUGGGAAUGGCGCUUGUGACUGCAGUGCUGGAGUGCGGCAGAGGGGGAUGGAAUUCCGCGUGUAGCAGUGAAAUGCGUAGAUAUGCGGAGGAACACCGAUGGCGAAGGCAAUCUCCUGGGCCUGUACUGACGCGAAUGCACGAAAGCGUGGGGAGCAAACACGAGUAGAUACCCUAGUAGUCC